AUCGGGUUUUUGACCCUUAUAUAUAGGAAUGUGUGGUGUUUGUGGCCUAAAACCGGUUACACUACUCGGCGCUACAUUUUCUAUCCUGGUUCUUGUCAGAAGUUCUCUCCAAGUUUUCUCCUGUUAAUUACCUCGUAAGAUUUGUAACACGUUCUAUUUUUUUAUUAAUAUUUUUUGAGGUAAUUAUCAUGGCAACAGGAACCGUUAAAUGGUUUAACGAAUCCAAGGGCUUCGGCUUUAUCGCUCCUUCCGAUGGUAGCAAGGAUGUCUUCGUACAUUUUUCUGCAAUCGCAAGCGAAGGUUUUCGCACUCUGGCUGAAGGCCAGGAAGUGUCCUUCGACGUAGAGAGCGGACCCAAAGGCCCCCAGGCAACCAACGUUAAGGCCUAAUCGCCCGAACGUUGUUGUCUCGAGUAACCCCGCGAACUGUCGCGGGGUUUACUUUC
rnacentral:sRNA from 1 species